rnacentral:rRNA from 1 species
UGAGUACGAAAUGCUACGGCAUUGAAGCAGUCUAUGUCAUACUUCCUAGAAAAGCUUGCACUGUCAUAAACAAAUAAUGCCUGUACCAUAACCGACACAGGUGGGUAGGUAGAGUAUACUAAGGGGCGCGAGAUAACUCUCUCUAAGGAACUCGGCAAAAUGACUCCGUAACUUCGGGAGAAGGAGUGCCUUAUUUAUAAGGUUGCAAUAACAAGAUCCAAGCAACUGUUUAUCAAAAACACAGGUCUCCGCUAAGUCGUAAGACGAUGUAUGGGGGCUGACGCCUGCCCAGUGCCAGAAGGUUAAAGAAGUUGGUUAGCAUUCGCGAAGCUGAUAACUGAAGCCCUGGUGAACGGCGGCCGUAACAAUAACGGUCCUAAGGUAGCGAAAUUCCUUGUCGGGUAAGUUCCGACCCGCACGAAAGGCGUAAUGAUUUGGAUACUGUCUCGGAGAGGGGCUCGGUGAAAUAGACUUGUCUGUGAAGAUGCGGACUACCUGCACCUGGACAGAAAGACCCUAUGAAGCUUUACUGUAACUUGAAAUUGAAAUUGGACUUUAUUUGCGCAGUAUAGGUGGGAGGCAUUGAAGAUAUUCUUGCGGGAAUAUUGGAGCCAUCAGUGAGAUACCACUCUUGUAAUGUUAGAUUUCUAACUUUGUAUCAUUAUCUGGUCAAAGAACAGUUUCAGGCGGGCAGUUUGACUGGGGCGGUCGCCUCCCAAAUGGUAACGGAGGCGCACAAAGGUUUCCUCUGAACGGGUAGAAAUCGUAUCUAGAGUGUAAAGGCAUAAGGAAGCUUGACUGUGAGACCUACAAGUCGAGCAGGGACGAAAGUCGGUCUUAGUGAUCUGACGGUGCUGAGUGGAAAGGCCGUCACUCAACGGAUAAAAGUUACUCUAAGGAAAACAGGCUGAUCUCCCCCAAGAGUUCACAUCGACGGGGAGGUUUGGCACCUCGAUGUCGGCUCAUCGCAUCCUGGGGCGGUAGUACGUCCCAAGGGUUGGGCUGUUCGCCCAUGAAAGCGGUACGCGAGCUGGGUUCAGAACGUCGUGAGACAGUUCGGUCCAUAUCCGGUGUAGGCGUUAGAAUAUUGAGAGGAGCCUUCUUUAGUACGAGAGGACCGAGAAGGACAUACCUCUGGUGUACCAGUUAUUGUGCCAACGGUAAACGCUGGGUAGCUAUGUAUGGAGAGGAUAACCGCUGAAAGCAUCUAAGUGGGAAGCCCACCUCAAGAUAAG